ensembl:lncRNA
CCCUUGCUCUUGUAAAUACUGUGCAAACCACAGCCUCUUCUGAAUUUCCUUCUAGCAUCCUUGUAAAUAACUGAUUCUGUUGAAUUACAAAAUUUUCGGUAUGUUUCUAGAUUCUUGAAAGCUUUUAAUCAGCCUACAAAGAGAGUUCUAGGGAAACAGGUUUUCCUAGAAAGUCAUCCAUGUGCUGAGGGACUAUUUCUACUCCUGCAAACAUCUGUGACAACUAUUCUAAUAUCUUUGAUCUUUCUUUAAUAACACUUGCCUUCUGGCAGGAAAAAAGAUUUAAAGUGUAUCUUAUCCAAUUUGAAAAUUAUUUGCGUAUUUUUCCUUUCAUUGGACUGCUAAGCGAAAUUUCCCUACCCAUGAGUUUCUUGUGUGGCUAGGUAGAAAGAAGAGUUACAUGGAAACUUCCCAGGUGGUCUGGGAAGAGAUCUCCAGCCUGGAGGCUGGUUCAACUGUGGGAGAUCAAUCCCCUGGCAAUUCCAAAACUCCAAAAUAGCUAUAAAUGUGAGCAGCUUUACUGUGCCAUCCUUGAUCCAGUCCAGCAAUGUCCUCAGAAAAACAGCCUGUAUGCCUCAGUAUUUUCAGUCAGUGAUCCCUGACAGCAAUAGUAUAGAAGUACAUUGUCCUUGUUUCCCUUAUGCUUCUGCAUCUGUAUUUCUAAGAACCUAUGGAUCAUCACAGUCUAGCAGAGAUCCCUGAACUGUAUAAACGAAUAGCAAACAGACAGUGCAGCAUUUCAGACUGUUAUGUGCAAGUGGUAACACAGGUAAUAAGGUAAUACAAAAACAUGAGUGGGACACACACAGGCCUGUGUCUCCAGUGUGGGGUUUUCCAGAAGAGGAUGUUCUUUCUGCUAGACCUAGCUGAUAAUGCAUAGGCAUUGAAAUGCCUUAGUAAAAGUUGUUCUAUGAGUUCUGUGAGAGAAAAAUUCACUUCAGUGUAAGAUUCAAUUCAGUGUUUUGUCUCCAGUUCAUGUGGCAAAAUGAAACAUUCAGGCAAAAUACUUAUCUUGACGCUUAAGAGGAGCUGAAUGAUCCAAAGUGGGAAAAGCACAAGCUUCUGUAAGCAUAACCACCACAAAGCUACUCAGGGUACUUUGUCAUCUCAGCAGUGGACACUAACUGCAUCUUAAGUCAGCAGGCACAAAUAGAUCAAGCUUAAUUAAGAGGAACAGAACAUCUUGGCAGGUUUGCUUUACUACUGGUACUGUUAUAAUUUAAUGAUCUAUGCAUAUGGAAAUGUGUGUAUUCCUGCACUUCUAGUAUAACUUACAGUUCUGCAAGAGCAUCCUGCAUACUAAACAAGUGAAACAUAUUCAGAGUAGAGUAUUAUUUUUUCAUUAUUCCCACAAAGGGCUGAUUAUAAGCAAUUGCAGAGUGAUAAUGCUCAAAGCAGAAUAGCUGUGGGCUGAACAGUAUUCAGAGCAGUACAGCUUUCAGAAAUUUAGUGAUAUGAAUUUAGUUAUGAAACUUCUAAUUCACUGUAUAGGUUAUUUCUUGCGUUUUCAAACUAGCAUCACUAGUUCCCUGCUCAAAGUAACGGGAUAAAGUCAAGUGUAGUUUUCC